GGUAGGGGUGGCCGAGCAGGUGGCAGGUUGUACCCUGUUCACGGGGCACAGCCCCCCCCCACAA
rnacentral:tRNA from 1 species